rnacentral:rRNA from 1 species
GGGUGAGUAACACGUGGAUAACCUACCUAUAAGACUGGGAUAACUUCGGGAAACCGGAGCUAAUACCGGAUAAUAUAUUGAACCGCAUGGUUCAAUAGUGAAAGACGGUUUUGCUGUCACUUAUAGAUGGAUCCGCGCCGCAUUAGCUAGUUGGUAAGGUAACGGCUUACCAAGGCAACGAUGCGUAGCCGACCUGAGAUGGUGAUCGGCCACACUGGAACUGAGACACGGUCCAG